UCACGUGUUUGAAUACUUUGUCACGUGUGAAAAAAUUGCCCUCUCUACCCCUGGAAAACUAACAUGUCAGGUUUCUAAUGAGACUUGCUGCUAUGUGCAAGGAGAUUUCAUUUGAGAACACUCAAUUGAGCAGUUUUUCCUGCCAGUAUUCCAAACUAGUGCAGUCUCAGAAGGGCACUACCACAUUGUUCUGAACAUGUAGCAAACCCCUCUGUCUUCAGAACAGAUGUGGGGCAAAGGAAAGAGAAGUCACCUUCAGGAGAUGGGCUCUGACUGUUACGUGAUGUACACAGAAUUUUGUCUGAAAUUGUACAGAUUGCCUGCAAAGCCGCUGUAAAAGGGGCAUCCAUCCCCUUUAAUCUGUUUAAUUAAAUACAAACCAAAUAUACAAGUCUUGACAGAUAAAAGCAUCCUCACAAUAGGGACCCAUUACACUGGGAACUGGUAAAUUCAAAAUAGCAGUUUACAGAGACUUAGAGUUUAAUUAUUUUUUUUUUUAAUUCUCUAAAAUAAGAUGCUGAAAGGUUCUGCAUACCUCAGGGCAUGCAGUGAGCAAAGCUUUUCAGUUGGCUAUAUCCUAACAUAGCUCUACUCAAAUCUAGCUGCUUGUGUACCUCAUUUUGACCCAAAGAGCUAUGACUUUUUUUGUCUGUUUGCAACUUCUGUGCCACAACAAGAGAUUUAUGGUAUAGAGAUAUACAUAGAGGACAUGAUCUAGGCAAAGUUCAGCAUGUUUUGAGUCCUAUUAAUUUCAAUGGCAGAGUGAAGCACAUGUUUAAAUUCUCUUCCAUGGGCAUUAAUGGGGGUGCUCAACUUUGGCUGGGCCAUAGCCAUAUAUUCUAUAUGUCUGGCCUGGUAUUCCCAUUGCUUAGAACAUUGCAUUUUGUUUUGUACCAUGCAAGAUGGGGAGUGAAACUGUGUUUUUGGCAUGGUGUCCUUACACCCAUUUUGCACUCGCUUUGCACAGAUAUAUGCAAGCGUCCGAGGCAAUGGAGAACCGGGACUGUUAUAAAUAUAUUUUUCUAUAUCUUUAUGACCUGCCCUGCAUCUCUACAAACAAAAUAUAUGGUUUUUAAACUGCAAAAGAUAGUGUGUUUUAACGAAACAAAACUCUAAUGCAUGAAUGUAAAUAAUCUUAAGAUCUGCCUUCUUGACUGUGUACCACAUGUGCAGAUGAAAACUGCUAUUGUUCAUAGAGAAUCUGUAAUGGUGGUUAAAUGACUGAAGAGGAUGGCCUUGAUCCAGAGAGUUUCCUUAGGGACGCUUCAUGCAAUACACCCAGGUGUCCGCUUUCCAGAGAGGGAGCUCAGAAGCUUCACUGUGCUCUUGGAGCUCAUUUCAUAGCCCCCUGGAUCAUGGCCAGCUACAAUCUCAAAAAUUAAUGUUGUCAUGUUUCUAAGACAAGCCAUUAAUAUAUAUUUAGCAUUUAAGAAUAUUGCUCAAUACAUAUGUUCUGUACCAAAAAAAAAAGUGUUGCAUAUACAGAUUGUGCAGUACCCUAUUUAAAAAAGGCACCAUAAUUAAUUUUUAUUUUAAAUAAAAAUGUACUUAUUUAAAAAAA